UUGUUUUUUCCUUUUCAGAUUUUUAAGAAUAGAAUUCAAGAUUUCUAUUUUAUCUUAAAUUUUUAUGUAAACAAGUUUACAUUUUUCACAUUUCUCGUCGCUUCUCAGUAGCUUACGCGAUAUUUGUCAACGUGUUUAUAAACUUCGUAUGCCUAGUACUAUUGAAAAUCACACCAGUGAAAAUAUCUUGAGCUCCAAUUAUUUGAAUUCACGAACCGAUCUUUGCAUGAAGAUUGCUUGUUAUGAUCGUAACGAUUGCAAGUAUCUACAAUGUUACUCUUCAAGAUUGCCAUGUCGUUUUGUGAAAACUAAUUUUCUUAUAUUAUAAAAUUCUUAAUUCACAAAUGGUCGAAGAAAUAUAUUCAAGAAAAUUUAAAAUAAUAUUUUACAAUUCCAUAAAUAUGGAUUUAAAAAGAAUAUAUAUUUACACAAUAACAUAAUUAUUUGUGCAAACAAUACGGUGGUAUUUAUGGAAUAUAUAAUAUAUUUAUUUCUAAAUAAAAGAAAUUUAAAUUUCAAAUUUUGUUGUAAUUACGUUUGUUUUUAUAACAAGUUUGUGAUAUAACUUUGGCUUCAAUUAUUAGUAUUUUUUACAUAAUUGUAUUUAAUUGAGAAUAAAUCUCUCUCUCUCUUUCUGACUGUAACUUUAACAACGAAAAACUCAUUUACCUCGAUAAAUCUGAGGAUCGAUAAUUAGGUUUGCAAUUAUUUCUGGUUUCUGAAAAUUCGAAAUUUUGACAGUAGAAGGAUCACUCGUGCUUCUUCUCUAAGAGUAUCCAGGAGAACGUGUACAGUUCUGAGGUAGCCGUAAAAUUCAGUCUAUAAUUUCUGAAAUAUCGAUAAACCGUGAGGCCUGCACGGUGAGGGGUCGACGCGGUGCGGCGCGGCACGACGUCGAGGGAAAAAUGUCGUGGAAAAAUAAAGUUUACCGCGCGCGAGAUCGGCGCGCUAUCUGCAGCGGCGUCGAGGAGAGGAAGAACGAACGGACGAGAAUGAAAGCGGUGGCUGGUUCAGGAGUGUAAGUGGAUGUGUGGGAUGGUUUGCGGUGAGGGAGAUGGAGGGUCUCGGGUAUGCGAGUGUGCAUGGGGGAUAGAGGGGAGGGUAAGGUGAGUCGCGGGGACGGGCUGGGCUCCAAGGGUGAUAGAUUGCCUCCUUCGCAAGGACGAGGCGAGCUCUCUCCCGGCAGCAGAGGUGAUCUCUUUCGAGAAAGCUCGAGCUUUCUCUCCGGGAUCUGGUUUUGAGGAGGAACGAAGGAACGAACGCUCGGCGAUGGAACGAUAGAAUGUAUCAUCCUAUGAUUUAUUAUCAGGGCUGUCUUCGAGCGACCAUCUCGCAUCCGCAGCCAACCUCCCCGCCGCCAACCACCCCGGACCGCCAUCUAACCGCGCCAAACUUGCCCGCCUUUCUCGCGGAGUCGCUGUCUUAUCUCUUCGCUCGGAGAGAAGCGGGUCUGGGGAAUAAUCGGAUAGUUUAAUCCUAUUCUCGGCCUAACAUCAUACCUUCCUUGAAAGAAAGAGAGAAAGAGAGAGAGAGAGGGAGAGAGAGAAAAAAGUAAAAAAUUUAUAGGAAAUAUACAGCAAAUUAUUAUUUUUAAAUGUAAGCCACGACUGUAAUCUUGCAGUUAAAAUUUUUUCUUAUAGAAAUAUAAAUAUUUCUGCGUUAACUGUAACCGAUGAACCAAUCUUUUUUUUAUUCCCGAUCAUCACCAAACGCGCAAGCAACCGAUUAUAAUUGGAGUAAUUUGUCAAGUAUUCGAUAAUGAUUUUCACUCCGCGAGGACACGCGAAACAAUUUUUCUGUUUAAUAUAUAUAAAAAUAAAAUAAAAAGGAGCGAAAGGGGACUGUUUCAAGAAUGCAUAGCGCGCUAUAUAUAUAUAGGCCCAGUAUAAUCUACAGGAGGUGCUUGUGCGAACCGAGCGUUCACACCUCUCAUAGGUUUUUUUGGAUACGUGUAUGAGAAAAUGUGUACACACGUACAUGCCCUGAAGAGAUAUAAUAAUGUCUGGAUAUUGAUAAUCUUCGUGUCGAAGAAGAGGCAACACCUAUCCCCCUCGUGUCUUCGCUAUUCUUUCUGAUGACAUUCUGCGCGUAUAUCUUUAAGGGCGACCCGGUCGACACACGAUAAGCCGACGCGGUGUAAAUGGCGGAAGACAUUGGCGAUUUGCGAGAAGCGCGGGCGAGAAAGAGAAAUACUUUAUCUUGCGUUUUUGGAAAAAACUAAAGAUUGCCCCAACGACGUAACUUUCGCCAAAAAUCGUGUACAAAUGUUUCCAUCAAAGUCAGUAAACUUUUAUCUAUAUAGACUGCCCGAGAAGAAGGCAUCAUGAGCUCAUUUUAUUAAUCAGGAUAGUCUUUCGAUUACACGUGUAUAAAAGAAUUUGAGACUAAAAACAAAUGUAAUAUUACGAUAACGGCUUAUGUUACUUAUCGCGAGAUUUAGAUUUAGUAGAUUCCCUGCUACUUGCGAUUUUUCUAGGAAUAUGUAUAUUGCACAGACGAAAGGCGAAUAUCUUCUAUUUUCUAUUUCUGAUUCUUAGUAAACAAUUCUUAUGACAAAUGAUACAAGUGAGUCGAGUUUUUAGAUAUCUCCAUUAUCACAGUAUGAAUAAAGAUGAUAUUUUUGCAAGGAAGACUACUGCUUGAUACGUAGCUUCUCGUAAAUCAAAAGUUUCCCUUAAGUCGAAUAAAAUGACAAAGAGUAGCUGGUCUCCUCGCUGGUUUCGACGCGGAUGGCUUUUGUAACCGCCUUACUGUCGUACUUUGUGUAUCUCGCCAAAGUUGCGAGAGUCCUUCGUUACGUCGAAACAACGUCUUGCGCCGCAGUCUCUAUCGCCUGCAGUGUUCCUCGAGCACGCAGUGUGAUCGGAGAUUGCGGAAGCCAGAAAAUUCGUUUUCGCGAAGUGCCAUUUCGGGAACGAGGCAACCGUGUUUCAUCGCGCAGCCCCCGAGCACGUCGCGGAUGUAGAUAGAGCACGAACAAAUAGCUCGAUAUAGAGCAAACAGCUUGUUGCGAAUUAUCGCUCGUAAUUUGUAAACGAGCGCUGACGUUUCUCCGAACUCAUUUGUCGAAUUGCAAAUUAAGCCCUUUCCCUCAUACACUUAAUUAGCUAUUAAUAUAUUUCAAAUUACUAUAUACAUCAUUUGUGUCUUAUAUGUGCGUACUUUACAUUAAUAUAAUUAAUUAUAAUGUAACUAAUAAGUACGAAGGUUUGAUUUAUUACUUCUAUAUAUUUAACCCUAUUUAAGCAUCAAUUUAUUUUUCUCUGAUUAGGCAUAUUAGUUGGAUCGCUUAUACAAUUGCAGUUUGUGGUUUGUGGAAAAGUUUUUGGUUGUAAAAAAUUUAAACAAAUUGAGGUAUACUUUUUAACAUUUAGGAAUACAAUUGUAUAAUUAUAUGACUCAAAACAUUUUUUUGUAUAUGUGUGAAUUUAAAAAAGUCGGCAAAAUAGAAAAUCAUGGCUAGACUUUAAACGAUUCCCGUUAAUCAAGUAUUAACUUUGUUUCUAAGAAAUUAUAAAUGAUUACUUUAAUAUUAAAUAUUAGCUAAUAAAUGCAGUAUACUUAAAUUGUACAGAACAGUCUUCUUUACUUUAAUAAUUAAUUUCCUUUACAAAAUCCUCAUGUAACAUUAUACUAUUCGUAAAUAUAUUUCAUAUUUUUUAGUGAACAAUUUUUAAAACUUUCUUAAAAUAUAUUGAUUAUAUUUAUUUGACUAAAGAUUGUCCAGAGUCUUUUUUUUUAAGUUUUCUCUUGACAAGUUGAAUUUUUCAACGCACAAACAUUACGUACGUGCAGUUCGUUGUGAUGCACAUGUGAGAGAAAACUUGUGUAGUCACGUGAAUCCCGUUAUCUCCUAUCGCGACCGUUCCCGGAGCACAUCUACGCAAUGUUCGUGCGAACAGGAAUUAAUAGUCGAUCGUGCGAUCGAACGCGAAAGGAUGAAUACGGUCUGCCGCCUCCUCCGUCGUUUUCCCCGUCCCGACCGCCCCUCCCCCUCUUCCCUGCGUAAAGAACGGCGAAACUUCGACCGUAGCAGCGAUUCAGAAUUUUUAUGGGGCCGUUACCGUUCUGGCAGUGAUACCGACCUAUGGCGCGUAGAAACGGGAGGUCGGUUGGAAGGAUAAGGAGAGACGUCUCGUGCGCCCAUCGAAUCCCCGGGCACACGUAGAACUCGAAAAAUUUCAUCCCCCAUACGAGUGGGGGUGGAAGGAGGGGGGGGGGGAGAAUGGGCGCCUGUGUGUGCCUCGGACGCUCUCACACGUACCAAGGAGAGCUCCGUGCGAGGAGCGUGCAUCUGAAAACUUUUACGACACCCUCGCGGCGUUUAUGUCCCGUGUAAAUCUCGCUAAUUCCGCGAGCUUUGCGCCGCGCCGUGGUAUCGCUCGCGCCGCGCGGCCUUUCGUCGUUUCCCGGCUCACUUGCCGCCCGGAAUGCACUGCCGGCGACGCGAUAAAACCAGCGCGAAACGAUGCCGUCCCCCGCAAUCUUUACUGCCGUCGCGCGAGCGAUGGGUGGUGCGAGAAAGCGAACGCACACGUAAAGAUCGCCGCGAUUAUAAUGGCAAUAAUUUGAGCGGCGACAACGCGCCGUUGCGAAAUUGUGUUAGAAAAAGGAAGAAGUCUCGCGCGACGCCGACAUACGUUUCUUCGGUGAAGUUCGUUACCGAGGGUCGUCGCAGAUCCCGAUGGAGCAGGGGUCGAUUUGUUAUUAUUAAGGAACUCUUCAUUAAAUUUUAUUGGAUAUUGUAGACGGAUUUGCAGCGUGGCCAGAUUUUCCUUCGGCUUAUUCCGUAAUGGUUUCAUAUACCUCAUCGCACAUACACGCGCCAACGUUUCUCUGCCAGUCUCUCCUUUCUUGUUUGAUGCUCUAAAGCGAUUCGCGAGCAGGCCACCGCACUUUCCCAACUUUUCUCGAAUCCGUCAAGUUCAGUCAGCGGCUGAACCGCAUUUCCUCCCUCCGUCUCUUCCUCCUCGGUUCUCUUCCCCGCUUCGGAGGGACCGGAAGCCGUUUUCAUGCGCCGCGUCGUAGACGACGAGCGUGUGCGUGUAUGCGCGUUGUAGCGACUGCGAAUCGACGAUUACACUUCUACAUACAAGCGUGUGAAUAACGCGUGGCGCGUAUGUGUGCUCGCGAAGCGCGAAACGUUGCUCGCGGCAACCACUGUAUUUACUCAUAUCGCGAGUUUCUCGAUAGUUGUUGUUUCCAAAUAGCGUUUCGUCAACGUCAGACAUUCCCGUGAAAGAGAGAGAGAGAGAGAGAAAGAGAGAAAAAUUUGCUCCUACUCCUCUGUCAAGGAUGAACAAAAACUAACGCAAAGAGGAAGAGAGAGAAAUUCGUUUCUUGCGAGAUGCGCUAUCGCCUGCGUACUCAUACGCUAACAUCGGUGAUAAGUUAUCCCUCUGACACUGUGAGAUUGCAGUCAUUUUGUUUUCAAUGAAGAUACCGAGUCGAAACGGCGAAUGUUAUUUGCCGAUUGUCUUUUUCCCACAUUUCUUCAUGUAGAUAUAGUAAAUAAUGAGCAUUAGAUAAUUAGUAUGUAAUACUAAUAAUAAUAGUUAUAAUAAUAAAGAAAGAAUAUAAAUAUAUAUAUAUUGUAUAUAGAGCGCUGUUCAUAAUCAACUGUUAAAUUAAGAGUCUUGUAAAGUUCCAAUUUUUUGUUAUUUACACUGAGAAAAAA
rnacentral:lncRNA from 1 species